CCACUGAUGAAUCGAAAUGGUGCUGCGGCCUUGAAACGAGGGCUGCGGCUGAAAAGGGAAUACGGUGAGGCUUACCCAAAAGGGACCGAAACCGUGGCUGCCCCCGCAACUGUAAGCGGCGAGUGGGCCUGCAUCAUGCCACUGGCGAUAAGCCGGGAAGGCGCAGGCCAACAGCGACCCGCAAGCCAGGAGACCUGCCAUUUCAUAGGUCAACCGC
rnacentral:ncRNA from 21 species